GACUUGUUGGCGCACUCGGCAGCGCACCCACAGCAAUUGGUAUUAGGAACAUCCAGAGUAUUUACGUGGGAGGCCCCAGUUCGACUCUGGGACAGGUCA